CCUACGGGAGGCAGCAGUGAGGAAUAUUGGACAAUGGGCGCAAGCCUGAUCCAGCCAUGCCGCGUGCAGGAUGACGGUCCUAUGGAUUGUAAACUGCUUUUGUACAGGAAGAAACACUGGUUCGUGAACCAGCUUGACGGUACUGUAAGAAUAAGGAUCGGCUAACUCCGUGCCAGCAGCCGCGGUAAUACGGAGGAUCCAAGCGUUAUCCGGAAUCAUUGGGUUUAAAGGGUCCGUAGGCGGUUUAAUAAGUCAGUGGUGAAAGCCCAUCGCUCAACGGUGGAACGGCCAUUGAUACUGUUAGACUUGAAUUAUUAGGAAGUAACUAGAAUAUGUAGUGUAGCGGUGAAAUGCUUAGAGAUUACAUGGAAUACCAAUUGCGAAGGCAGGUUACUACUAAUUGAUUGACGCUGAUGGACGAAAGCGUGGGUAGCGAACAGGAUUAGAUACCCUGGUAGUCCACGCCGUAAACGAUGGAUACUAGCUGUUGGAAGCAAUUUCAGUGGNGUAGAGAAGAGAGUAAGUAAGUACCACCGUCGGGAGGUACGGUUCGGUCGAAGAAAGUUAGUAAACGUUAACGAAAGUAAGUUAAGUUAGGACGGNGAGAGAGCGACGACGACGACGACGGAGGGAGGAGG
rnacentral:rRNA from 1 species